rnacentral:rRNA from 1 species
CCAAUAGCGUAUAUUAAGGUUGCUGCGGUUAAAAAGCUCGUAGUUGAAUUUCGGGAUUGAUGCAUCGGUCGUGCCUUAAGGGGUAUGAACUGGUGUGGUCAAUUUCUUACCUUCUGGUGAAUUGUGAUGUCCUCCUUAAUUGGGUGUUUCAAUGAACUAGGACUUUUUACUUUGAAAAAAUUAGAGUGUUUAAAGCAGGCAUUAUUUGCUUGAAUACAUUAGCAUGGAAUAAUAAAAUAGGACAAUGAUUCUAUUUUGUUGGUUUCUAGGAUCACUGUAAUGAUUAAUAGGGAUAGUUGGGGGCAUUAGUAUUCAAUUGUCAGAGGUGAAAUUCUUGGAUCAAUUGAAGACUAACUACUGCGAAAGCAUUUGCCAAGGAUAUUUUCAUUAAUCAAGAACGAAAGUUAGGGGAUCGAAGACGAUUAGGUACGUCGUAGUCUUAACCAUAAACUAUGCCGACUAGGAAUCAGACAACGUUAAAUUUUUAAUGACUUGUUUGGCACCUUACG